rnacentral:rRNA from 1 species
UACGGGGGGAGCAAGCGUUGUUCGGAUUUACUGGGCGUAAAGGGCGCGUAGGCGGCCACCGCAAGUCGACUGUGAAAUCUCCGGGCUUAACCCGGAAAGGUCAGCCGAUACUGCGGGGCUAGAGUGCAGAAGGGGCAACUGGAAUUCUCGGUGUAGCGGUGAAAUGCGUAGAUAUCGAGAGGAACACCUGCGGCGAAGGCGGGUUGCUGGGCUGACACUGACGCUGAGACGCGAAAGCCAGGGGAGCGAACGGG